AAUGUGUCACGUCGUAGAACAGGCUAAUUCUAAGGUUGGGGGAAGAAACACCGGGAUGUGCCUUUGAUAAUGCUAGCAGAAUCCUAUCCUAAAUUGAUACCCUAAUCUUAACAAUUGUUGCAAGAAUUUCAAUGAUUUGUUCCGUUGAAGGAAUGCGUUUUAUGGCAUUGAGUGCUCGAACAGCUAAAAGAAUGCAUCGCACAUCGAUGUUUCAUAAAUUGCAUUGUUGGGGAAACGAAAUAGUGGUUAUUUUCAUAGUCUCAACGGAAAAUAACAGGACUUGGUUACCAUGGUUACUGAAACAAGAUUGGUUGCUAUGGUGACAAUAUCAGAGUUGUUAUCAAAAUGUUGUGAUAAAAUUAACCGAUUUAUGAUAUCUUUUGCAUGUGAUGAUCCCGUGAGCCUCUCCUGCUUCCUGUGGAAGAAGUCUCUGCUCGCUCUUCGCUGCGGGGUCCGCGAGCGCGACGCAUGACUUCUACCGCGCGCUGUCUUCCAGCGUGAUCAAACACGAUACGCGAUGUUUGUUACAUACAGAGAUACUAAGAGCAACAUGAAUGAUGAACCUGGUGAGAUCAAUCCAAUUUUGUUUUGCGUCUUUUAUAAAGUCGUACAUCCGUAACGUUGAUAAUUGUCGACUAUCUCCUUGGUUUAGUAGUGAUAUCUAAGGACUCGGGUUUGAUCCUCGGGCUGCGUCAUAUUGCUUGAUGGACCUAGCACCUCAUUCAUUGCUUUCAAUGACUUCCAAUUCGUACACGCUAGUUUCGCCGUAGGCAGAACAUUGUAUGUAGCGUUUCACCGUUCAGGUGAUACUAUUACCCCGUACGAUAACGAAACUAUUAUAGCAAGACUAUAGUUAGCCUCGUAGGUCUAGCUGUCAUAAGCGCGGCUGCUCAGCACGAGGUCUCGGGUUCGAUUCCCGAGUCGGGCCAAAAUUGCUUUGUUGCCUUAGAAACUUUCACAAAGCAUUCCGGAGCCUGGAAAUUGCUAAUUGAUGCACCCGUGCAUCGGAGGGCACGUAAAGUAAAGGCAAGUAAAGGUCCUUUAGUAUGUUAGGUCCUGCUUGUGAUCUCUCUCCGGUCGUGUCGCGUUGCCGUCCCAUCGGACUACGACAGUGAAAGAAUAAUGAGUGCACCUGUGUCAGCGCGAAUGCUUGUUCACUAUAGUAUGUCCUGCGCAGUUGGCUAAUCUCCUUACAUGAGAACAGCCGUCGUAGCUGGUAAUCGGCUAAGAGGACAUCUUAGCUAGUAAAUAGGAAUAAUAUCAAUCACAUGUUAGCUUUUUAGGUGUCUGUUUCUUACCUUAUUGCGUAGCCAUAGCAAUUAAUUUCCUACCUUGGAAAAUAGCUUCAAAAUAGCACGCUGUUGUUAUUUAUCGCUUACUUUUUGCUUAUCUGAUUUACUUUGACUUAGAGUCCUAUGUCCCCUAGAUAGGGCAGAGGGCAUCCACAGUGCUCCGCCAUCGUGUUCGGUCUUGAGCUUUGCGCUUUAUUUCGCUCCACGUUCUGCCUAUAGUCGCCGCCUCUGCAAUGAUCGACCGCCGCCAGGAUUGUUUAGGGCGGCCACGUUUCCGCUUCCCUUGGGGAUUCCAGUCUAGGGCUUGCCUCGGGAUGUGAUCGGGGUCCCUUCGGAGCGUGUGGCCGAUCCAGUUCCACUUGCGUUGUUUGAUCUGCUGGUCGAUCGGUGUCUCUCCGCAGCGUUCCCACAGUUCUAUGUUGGAGAUUUUCUCGGGCCAGUAUAUACCGAGAAUACGACGAAGGCAGCGAUUGACGAAGACCUGGAGCUUACGCUUAAGCUUUUGCUUAUCUACUUGCUCUAUUUACUUACAUUGAGUUGCGCAGCUUUACAUUGUGCGUCAGACUUUACAUUUGCUGGUAGACUGUACCUAAUCUACUCGAAUAACCAGUUAGUAAUUUCAUCGUGUUCAGAUGUACCUACGAUGGAUACGGGUUGAUUCGGAAUAAACCCAUGUAAAGCCUGUGUGAUGGCAUAAGAGUCGCCGGGAACAGACCUGAGUAAAAUCUGUGGUACAGUUGGUGUCAUGUCACUGUGGUUGUGAUCGUGUACCCUACAAGGCCGGAAUAGGCUGUUGGCACUGUCAAGGGACACACCGACGGUGAAAAUCCUGAGUAGAAGGUUUGAUGUGAAUUAAACGACAGCCGUAGUUGUGACGGUUCCUGUAAUUAACGUGUUGAAAGUCUAACUACCAAAAAGAGCAGAAGCCACAAAGUCUGAUAACUAGUCUUGCCGAAGUGUGACUGGUUGCCUAGGUAAUUGUGUUGAGAAAUCGCUCCCUAUAAGGCACGUAUGCCCAGCUACAUUCGGUUAGAAUGAAAGUCAAUCCAAACUUAUUGAGAGAAGGCUAGGACUGGGCUGGAUGUAGUUAGUUAACUUAAGCUCUCAUCUCUAACAAUAACGGAUGGUAAGUCUGAAGUCUAAUGUUUGGUUACCGAUGCGCAUGUUUGUCCUAUCACUACAGAUGUUGAUGGCCGAGGCUGAAGGAGAGAAGGUGAUCAACUACGUACGCUAACGCCGUGUGAGCUGAUGGCUCGCAGCUGCGGUUGCUGACACGCGCUGUUGCAAGCCAGGAUACCGUGCGAUUCUGCGGUGGUAAAGGCGAACCAACAGUGAACUGUCAAUUCGACACUUUACGAGUUUUCCCUAUGCUAGUUAAUCAGUGCUACUUACACGAGGACGUGUAAAGCGCAGGAUGGCCGUGUCGGCGCGGCCCACAGCGCGGCCCAAUAUUGCUGGCUGGUCCCUUGUUUGUGGUCGUCUUGGUGACGUGAGGUGCCAACGUCAAUUGAAAUAAUUUUAAAUGGAAUCUCGAAGAGAAACCAAGUUCAGACUAUGUGAUCUUGGAAAUGUAUCCGAUUUAUUGUAACCAAUGUGAUUAUUGAAGUACUGAACGAUAAUAGACGAUGUGAACAAC
rnacentral:lncRNA from 1 species